CAUUUAAGGCUUCUAACUCUCCCCCGGAUCAAAUGCAGCCAGGAAGCGUCGAGAAACAGUGGUCACUCAGAUUAGAACCAGUUUCUGCUCGCACUGCUAGUCUGUUUGUCGCUGGAGGGAUUUUUUUUUUCCUUAGGAACAAGAAUAAAAAGAGGAAUCUGGUCACACAAGAUGCGACCAUUUCCUCUCUGAGAGCCAUCGAACCCUCCACGAAGACCCGGUUGACAUUUUUAUUAUUAUGGAUGUGCCCACGCAGAUGAGAGAGACGCGCUGGGGGAAAAAAAGAGGGAGCCCACCCCCGAGAAUGAGAGUAAAUAGAUCAAAUGUUUGGUAUUUUAGCUGUAAGUUGUUCUUGUUUAUUGAAUAAAAACGUUUCACUAUUUUAACGUGUUUUAUUGUUAAAUCAAUUGAUAGCAUGCAGUGUUUAUAUUAAUUUUUUUGCAUU